UAAAGUUCUUUUUACGGAGCGAAAAAAAUAACACACACCGAGAAAAUGGGGGAAACUCUUAAACUCCCUUUAAUCGACUUAUCUUCGUCGGAUGGAAUUUCAACAUCCAAGUCGAUUCGUCAGGCUUGUGUUGAAUCUGGUUUCUUUUACUUGAUAAAUCAUGGAGUUGAAGAUGAAUUGAUAAAGCGAGUUUUCGAUGAAAGUAAAAAGUUUUUCUCAUUACCAGUUGAAGAGAAGAUGAAAUUGGAACGUAAAGGACUAACUGGUUACACGCCUAUGUAUUCUGAAACCCUAGAUCCUACCCUCAAAACAGGUGAUUUAAAGGAGAGCAUUUAUAUUGGUCCUCUAAAUGGUGUAGACCAUGUUCAGAAUCAAUGGCCAUCAGAAGAAGUGUUGCCUUCGUGGAGAUCCACAAUGGAGUCGUACUAUGGAAAACUUAUAUCCACUGUGAAAAGGUUAAUAACCUUGAUUGCGUCGGCUCUGAACUUGGAUGAAAAUUUCUUUGAGGAUGUUGGGGCACUUCAUAAUCCAAUGGGUUUUGUCCGUCUGUUGCACUAUCCAGGUGAACAAAUAGCUUCGAACAAAGAAAUAUAUGGUGCUUCUGCUCAUUCAGAUUAUGGAAUGGUUACUCUCUUGGUAACUGAUGGGGUCCGUGGGCUUCAGAUCUGCAAAGAAAAAGAUAAGCAAACACGGAUCUGGGAGGAUAUCCCCCACGUCGAUAAGUUCGACAAUGAACGAGCAUUCAUAGUUAACAUUGGUGAUAUGAUGGAGAGGUGGACUAAUUGUCUGUUCCGGUCAACGCUACACAGGGUUACCUUAAUCACAGAAGAGCGCUAUUCUGUAGCUUUCUUUUUCGAACCCAAUGAUGAUUGCUUGGUCGAGUGCUUGAAAAGUUGCUGCAGCGAGAAGUCUCCCCCAAGGUUUCCUCCAAUUCGUAGUGGAGACUAUCUUUGCACACGUUUCAAUCUUUCAUAUGCUUCUGAACUAUGAGGGUGAAACAAUAACCCUCUUCAAGAUAAUCUUGCUUUCAUCAUCUAGACGCUGCCCCUCACCAGUAGUUCUCUACAUGAUUUUCAGAUAAAGUUUCUGUCUGGAAUCUGUACCAAACAGGUAUCCAUUAUCAAUUUCAUAUCCACAAAAUUCAAGUGAGAAUUAUCUGACUUUAGACUCAAUCAAGGAGAUAUUGUAAACCACGUGUAUGGCAUGGUUCGAGACCGUCUGAUGAAAUUACCUCAUGAUCACGUUGGCCACGCAACCAAUUUCAAACUAGAUCAUGCCUCAACUACUACUGAUGGCAGUUAAUAAGUGGCAAUCAUGUUGGUUAUAGAUGCAACAUAAGUACAUUUGGAGGCGUAUUUUUGUUAAACCCUAUAUCUGAUAAAGUGGGAAAGCAUUACUAUGUUCUAAAUAGCUGCAUUUUAUGGAAGACGCAACUUUCAUCAACAAAAUCUUCGGUUGUGGAAAAGGCUAUACGGUCAUCUCAAUCAUUAAGAGGAGAUCUUUUUUCUGUACAGGCCGUCGUGACAUUUUUAUCAGACUUGUUCGUGGUAGAAGAGUUCAGGAAACGUUUUUGAUAGUGCUAUCGCAAGCAAAGAAGUUCAUUCUUCACCUAUCGUUUGUGAAACCAUACAUACUGCCAGUAUUAGAAGACUACUCAUUGGAUACCGAUGGAGAAUGAAUGCUUACUAUGUUAAUGAAGAUUUACAAAUAUUUUGGUUAUCUUUAUAAUUUUAGUUUUAGAAUCUUCUUUAGGACUCAUCCCGUUGUGCUCUUUUCCUGAGUCAAGGUUUUAUCCCUUUUAUUAUGGGUUUUCUUUUUCAAGGUUUUUACUGAGGCAACAUAUGCGUGUCCAACACCUUUCAGUGGUUUUGUCAUUUAUUUUUCUUGUAAUAUCUUUAUUUUGUUAGCUAUCGUAGAUGGCUCUACUAUUGUAAUGUCGACUCAUUUGA